rnacentral:tRNA from 1 species
GGGCCCUUAGCUCAGCUGGUAGAGCAUCCGACUUUUAAUCGGGCGGUCCAGGGUUCGAAUCCCUGAGGGCCCA